GGGUCUAAUACUGGAUACUACCUCUUACCGCAUGGUGGGUGGUGGAAAGGGUUUUACUGGUUUUGGAUGGGCUCACGGCCUAUCAGCUUGUUGGUGGGGUAAUGGCUCACCAAGGCGACGACGGGUAGCCGGCCUGAGAGGGUGACCGGCCACACUGGGACUGAGACACGGCCCAGACUCCUACGGGAGGCAGCAGUGGGGAAUAUUGCACAAUGGGCGGAAGCCUGAUGCAGCGACGCCGCGUGAGGGAUGACGGCCUUCGGGUUGUAAACCUCUUUCAGUAGGGAAGAAGCGAGAGUGACGGUACCUGCAGAAAAAGCGCCGGCUAACUACGUGCCAGCAGCCGCGGUAAUACGUAGGGCGCAAGCGUUGUCCGGAAUUAUUGGGCGUAAAGAGCUCGUAGGCGGUUUGUCGCGUCUGCUGUGAAAGCCCGGGGCUCAACCCCGGGUCUGCAGUGGGUACGGGCAGACUAGAGUGCAGUAGGGGAGACUGGAAUUCCUGGUGUAGCGGUGAAAUGCGCAGGAUAUCAGGAGGAACACCGAUGGCGAAGGCAGGUCUCUGGGCUGUUACUGACGCUGAGGAGCGGAAAGCCAUGGGGAGCGAACAGGAUUAGAUACCCUGGUAGUCCAUGCCGUAAACGUUGGGCACUAGGUGUGGGGGGACAUUCCACGUUUUCCGCGCCGUAGCUAACGCAUUAAAGUGCCCCGCCUGGGGGAGUA
rnacentral:rRNA from 1 species